UCGGGGCGUAGCGCAGCCUGGUAGCGCAACUGGUUUGGGACCAGUUGGUCGGAGGUUCAAAUCCUCUCUCGCCCCGAG
rnacentral:tRNA from 1 species